AAGUGGUCGGACGGGUGAGGUAAGUGNGUAGAGAGUACUGCCCUGUACUGGGGGGACAAACACGAGGGAAACUGUGCUAAUACCGCAUAAGCGCACAGGGCCGCAUGGCCCGGUGUGAAAAACUCCGGUGGUGUAAGAUGGACCCGCGUCUGAUUAGCUUGUUGGCGGGGUAGGGGCCCACCAAGGCGACGAUCAGUAGCCGGCCUGAGAGGGUGGACGGCCACAUUGGGACUGAGACACGGCCCAAACUCCUACGGGAGGCAGCAG
rnacentral:rRNA from 1 species